AACGAACGCUGGCGGCGUGCUUAACACAUGCAAGUCGAACGAUGAACUACCAGCUUGCUGGUGGGGAUUAGUGGCGAACGGGUGAGUAACACGUGAGUAACCUGCCCUGGACUCUGGGAUAACCCCGAGAAAUCGGAGCUAAUACCGGAUAGGACCUUUCCCUGCAUGGGGUUUGGUGGAAAGUUUUUCGGUCUGGGAUGGACUCGCGGCCUAUCAGCUUGUUGGUGAGGUAAUGGCUCACCAAGGCGUCGACGGGUAGCCGGCCUGAGAGGGUGAACGGCGACACGGGGACUGAGACACGGCCCAGACUCCUACGGGAGGCAGCAGUGGGGAAUAUUGCACAAUGGGCGCAAGCCUGAUGCAGCAGCGCCGCGUGCGGGAUGACGGCCUUCGGGUUGUAAACCGCUUUUAGUAAGGAAGGAGGGGAGCUUGCUCCUUGACGGUACUUGCAGAAAAAGGACCGGCUAACUACGUGCCAGCCGCCGCCGUAAGAC
rnacentral:rRNA from 1 species